AUAAAGUCCAGCUUCUUCCUCAUCUUGCUCAUUCACCAACUCAACAAGAAUCCUUCAUUAUUUUUUUCAAUUCAAGCCCAUAUUCACUACCCCUUUUAUUGAUUUCUAAAACCACAGAAAACUCAAUGGCCGGUGAUAUCUUUAUAUUUACGGGAGCCAACGGCGACAAUUAUGACGUUUCUCUAAGCUUUAAUUAUAUGCAAAGUGUGUUCGAGUUAAAUGCUUCCCUAUACUCAAAAGCAGAAUUUGUAUAUGGGUCUCGACACAUUGAUCCUUUAGAGGGCAUAGAUCCGGGACUUGUCUAUGAAAACUCUGUCCAAGAGUAUUUUAAGAUGUGCUGCAACAUAUCUCAAACCCUAGGAAGUAUUAUCCAAAAAAUGCUAGUUGCCCUAUGAAGUUAGCUACCAAAGAGAUAAAGUACCCUUCUAUGGCAGUUCAAGUAGCAGCGGAGGAGUCAUUUGUGGUGUCUUUUCCUAGAAGCGUGGCCAAUGUCGGUUGAGCCAAUUCAACAUAUUUUGCAUGUGUAGAAGGAGACCGCUCAAAGUUGCAAGUUAGUGUAGAGCCCAACACUUUGCAAUUCACAGCAAUGAACCAGAAGAAGAAAUUUGUGUUAACUGUCACGGGGAAUAAAAUAAAGCCCUCUACAACAAAACGCUUGUCACUCGUGUUGACUGACGGUGUUCACAGAGUCCGAAGUCCUACCGUGAUUUACACAACGCCCGAUGAAGAAAGAGCGAUUUACUCAGUGUCCGGUGGAGAAGGAGCAUCAGCACAAUCAAUGCUUUAUAUAGCAUUUAUUUUUAUCGUUUUGAUAAUGAUGCCUUUGUAUCAAGUCCAAUACCAUUGUUUUCUCAUUAUAAUAUAAUAAAAAAUAGUUCUAAUUGAGAUAUUAAAGCUAACAAAAAAUUCAGCA